GGAUGAACCCAUUUGGUGUUUUUUAACGUUUGGACAUUUGGAUUCAACUCCGGGUUUAGAAUGGCUGAUGGGUCUUGCCGAGAGAGGUCACAGAGCAAGCCUGCCCCACACUUACCUGGCAGUGGCAUCAUGAUGACAGAACGACAGCCAGGCCAAACCUGAAAUGGCACUAAGAAACCAUGCACCAGGUCGCAACACCCAAGAGCAAGGAGCUGGGCCCAACCCCGUGGGACAGAAGCCAUAGCUGCAGGCAUAGACUGUCAAGACCACAAAAGGAUUUCAACAAUGACCAUGUACAAAUGAUAUACAGUAACAAGCAAAGUACUACACAUUAAGGGUCAACUACAGAGUGUUCCUGAACAUAUGUUUUUGUUCUGCAAGCACCGAUGAGCUACAAGAAAGACACCCAAGAUUAUACAUGCAAACACACUGCAAUAACUAUUCUGAAAAGUUUAAAGAUUUGUAUUUACUUUUUUCCUUUCAUUUCAACAUACUAUGGAAUAUCAAAGUAAACAUUACCAUACUGAAUAAAGAGUAAGAAAUGCGACUAGCCUUAAAAUGACAAA